rnacentral:rRNA from 1 species
CCUACGGGGGGCAGCAGUGGGGAAUAUUGGACAAUGGGGGGAACCCUGAUCCAGCCAUGCCGCGUGUGUGAAGAAGGCCCUCGGGUUGUAAAGCACUUUCAGUGAGGAAGAACGCCUGGUGGUUAAUACCCAUCAGGAAAGACAUCACUCACAGAAGAGGCACCGUCUAACUCCGGGCCAGCAGCCGCGGUAAUACGGAGGGUGCGAGCGUUAAUCGGAAUUACUGGGCGUAAAGCGCGCGUAGGUGGCUUGAUAAGCCGGUUGUGAAAGCCCCGGGCUCAACCUGGGAACGGCAUCCGGAACUGUCAAGCUAGAGUGCAGGAGAGGAAGGUAGAAUUCCCGGUGUAGCGGUGAAAUGCGUAGAGAUCGGGAGGAAUACCAGUGGCGAAGGCGGCCUUCUGGACUGACACUGACACUGAGGUGCGAAAGCGUGGGUAGCAAACAGGAUUAGAUACCCGUGUAGUC